rnacentral:lncRNA from 1 species
AUGUGGAAGUUCCUGGGGCAGGGAUCAUACCCGAACCUCAGCAGUGACCUCAGCUGCUGCAGUAGCACCACUGGAUUCUUAACUCACUGCACCACAGAUCCACCAGAAUCUCUACCAAAGGUUGCCAGGAUACCUCCAGGCAACAAAGGCUGGGGUUCCUGUUCCAGGCAGCCAGCCUCACAUAUUGCAGGAACUCCCAGAAGAGGGGAUGUGAAUCCUAGAGCUCCCAGCUAUUCUGCUCCUGUUGCCACCAGCUUCCCUGCUGAGGGGUUCAGCAGGCUAUGACAAAAACCAAAAUAGAAAGAUAAAGAACAAACAUUAUAAGGUGAGCCUCUCAGAAGGUGUGUUCUUUCUCUAUUGUCUGGUAGCUAAUCGGUCUCAAAUUUUGCCUGUCAACUAGCAACAUUAACCUUGCUCUUUUCCACUUGCUUCUCACCAGUGUGUAGUAAACAGUCCCUUGCUAUAGAAAAGGAAUCCAAAGAAAAGUAAUCAGUCCUUAAGUAAAAAACUUCAAGUAUUACUAAACAAAUUAACAAAUAUUUUACUUCAUUAGUUGAUUUUAGCAAUAAUGUGAAGUAUGGGUUAAAUAUUUCAAUGACUAGAGAGAAUCAAAUUCCAUUUAAAAGGAUGAUUUUUAAAAUGUACUUUAAAGAAAAGUAGAUAAAAUCUAUUUUUAACAUUAAUGCAGAAUUAUGUGUUUUUAAGCCAGAUUAUCCAUGAACGAAAAGGGGUGAAAAAGGAUAUAGUUAUUCAAUUGACUUGGUAGAUUUUUUUUUUUAUUAACUGAGAUAAAAUUCACCUGGAGUGAAAUGUAACUGAUCCUAAGUUCUUGAAUUCAAGUUCCUAAAAAUCAGUAAGUUUGAUACGUUUUUACAGCUGUGUAAACCAUCACCUUAAUCAAGGCAUAGGGCAUGUCGAUCACCCAGAAAUUUUCCUUUCAUCCCUUCCAGUCAGUCUUCCCUCCAUGGGCAGCCACUCUUCUGAUUUCAAUUACAAGAGAAUGAUUUGGCUAUUUGUGAAUUUUAUAUGGGUAGAAUCGUACAAUAUGUAUUCUUGUAUCUGACUUUCUUGGCUCAGAAUGCUUUUAAGAUUCUUCCUAUGGCUGUAAAUAUUAUUAGUUCACUUCCUAUAAUAGGUAUUAUUGCUUUAUAGAUUUAUUCCACGUCCGCUUAUCUAUUUUCCUCUUGAUUGAUAUUUGUCAAUCAGUUUUGGUCUCCUAUAACUAAAGCUGCUAUAAACAUUUUUGCAUAAGACUUUUGGUGGACAUAUGUUUUUGUUUAUCUUGGGUUCAGAGGUAGACUAAAACUGAUGGAUGAUAGGGUAGAUAUAUGUUUAACUUACUAAGGGGUAUGAAAUAAUAUGUCACUGUGGUUAUAAUUUGCAUUUCCUUUAUCACUCAUGAAGUUAAGUAUUUUUACACAAACUCAUUGAAGAUUUGUUUCUCUUUUUUGUUAGUUAUCUAUUCGUAUCUUGCCCAUUUAAAAUGUUUUUUUCUUUAUACCAUCUUUAUUAAUAUAUAAUUCACAUAUAAUAAAACUCACCCAUUUUAAGUACA